ensembl:lncRNA
GGCUACAUUGCGUAAGUGGUCACAUGAUGGCUCCCAGGGUGACUCUCGAGUAAAAUACAGAGGUAGCCAUUACUCCAAUCGGUCCUACUGAAAAACUAAUUGUCGAAUAGAUAUUAGAAAAACACCUUGAGGAUUGAUUAUAAACAACUUUUGCCAUGUUUCUGUCAAUAUUAUGGAGCUAAUUUGGAAUAUUUUUUGCAGUUUUCGUGACUGCAAUUUCUGGGCGAUUUCUCAGCCAAACGUAAAGAACAAAUGGAGCUAUUUCGCCGACAAAAAUAAUAUUUUGGGAAAAAAUGAACUUUGGCUAUCUACCUGGGAGUCUCGUGAGUGAAAACAUCCGAAGUUCAUCAAAGCAGCUUGCAGAUACAGGACAGCAAGGGUUUCCAAUAGAGGAGGUGAAAUGGUGUCUUGUUUUGAGCCAAGAGGAAGUAAUGACCCUGUGUGCAGGACAGGAUUGAAAAGCUUGGAGGGCUGCUGUGUUUACAUUAAAGAUGACCAGGCGUGGUUGAAGUGGGACGAGAAAACAAUAUUGAGAUGUGACAGCACACAUUAUGGGAACAGCGAUGGUGAAUGUGCCAGCAAUCAAUCCAGCCUUGACUGUGAUGGAGAGAUUUCUGCCAACAUGACACCUGGCACAGACACACCUGGCACAGACACACCUGGCACAGACACACCUGGACAGCAGAACACUACCCAGAACGGGACACCCACUGCCAGUCCAAGAGGUAGACUGUUCCUGUUACUCCCAGUCAGCAUGGUAGCUGUGAUUCUACUGGGAACGGCAUCCUGCAAACACAGGAAGAAGUCAGACUCCAGGUUUUUUUGUUGUCCUUGAUGGCUUUUGUUUUGGCAAUAUUUUCUGUUUUCUCUCUUUUGUUCAUUUUGUUGGUUGUUGGUGCGUUGGGGGAUGGUGACUCAGGGAAACUGUGUGGGGGAUCUUGGAGGGCUGGUGGCCUGGCGGUUUGGAGCUAUGGCUGGUAGCUGAUAAUCAUUGAUGUCUCAGGAGCAGGAGUAGAAAACACGGUUGACAUGUAUAAUUGUAAUUCAUACAUGCAGACACUGCAUUAUUCAAAUAGUGGAGUUUGAUAUGACUGAAAAAGAAUGUCUCAGAGAUUCAUGGUCAUCACAAGGUUUAACUGAGAUGGAAAAAUACUGAACAACACAAUAGCAGGAACUGAGCAACUGUUAUAACUAGGCUGCGAUACCAGAACAGUAAGAAUCUAUACAUCGACGGAGGGAGGACUCCAAGACUCCAAGAGGCGGGGACCCGCCUGAGCGCCUGCGAUAGGCUGAGCAAGUCUAAACCACGCUCUGCCUCUACUGUGAUAGGCCAACAGACGGGUUGGCACAAUGUCUAUCAUAGUAUAAGAACAACUGUUUACGUACAUCCUGUCAGUUCCCUGUUCUGCCCUGCGUGGUAUUACAGUGAGCCCGUAUAUAGGAACGUUGCAUUUGCCAUUUAUUGCUUAGCUAAUAAAAGUACAUAGAGUACAAUCAGUGACUCUGUUAUAACUUGUUCUGAUACCAGAUUCAAAUUUACGCAACUCUAACACUAGCUAGAUUCUUUACAUCCACUGUUUCACAAGACGACAGUCUGGUUUGCUGGUUUUCUCAUGAGUCCCUAAAACAUUAAACAACUAGAAUUACAAA